AAAUCAAAUAGAGGUCGCAAAUAAUAAGAUUAGUUUAGGGAGUUACCAUUAGACGAUGAAACAAACGAAAGGGUUAUUUGCCGAAGCACUAAGUUAAAUGGAACUUAGCAAGCUGGGACAUAGUUGAAUAAGCUAUGGACUGUCGGAAUUAUUUCCGGGGAGCUAUGUAUAAU
rfam:Lactobacillus sanfranciscensis TMW 1.1304, complete genome.